CAUCUACUCCCUCUGUUCGGAAUUACUUGUCGCAAAAAUGAAUGUAUCUAGACGUAAUUUAGUUCUAGAUACAUCCAUUUUCGAGACAAGUAAUUCCGAACGGAGGGAGUAAAAC
rnacentral:pre_miRNA from 1 species